CCAGUAGUCAUAUGCUUGUCUCAAAGAUUAAGCCAUGCAUGUCUAAGUUCACACCCUUGUACGGUGAAACCGCGAAUGGCUCAUUAAAUCAGUCGAGGUUCCUUAGCUGAUCCAUUUCUACUUGGAUAACUGUGGUAAUUCUAGAGCUAAUACAUGCCCAACAGCUCCGACCCCGGGCUUCACGGUUCGGGGAAAGAGCGCUUUUAUUAGUUCAAAACCAGUCGGGGGUUUCGGCCCUCGUGCUUUGGUGACUCUGGAUAACUUUGAGCCGAUCGCAUGGCCUCGAGCCGGCGACGCAUCUUUCAAAUGUCUGCCCUAUCAAAUGACGACGGUACGUGAUCUGCCUACCGUGUUGACUACGGGUAGCGGGGAAUCAGGGUUCGAUUCCGGAGAGGGAGCAUGAGA
rnacentral:rRNA from 1 species